AGGACGAACGCUGGCGGCGUGCCUAACACAUGCAAGUCGAGCGAGGAGAUUCCUCGGGAUGAUCCUAGCGGCGGACGGGUGAGUAACACGUGGGCAACCUGCCUCAUAGAGAGGAAUAGCCUUCCGAAAGGGAGAUUAAUACCUCAUAACAUUGCAGUUUCGCAUGGAACAGCAAUUAAAGGAGCAAUCCGCUAUGAGAUGGGCCCGCGGCGCAUUAGCUAGUUGGUGAGGUAACGGCUCACCAAGGCGACGAUGCGUAGCCGACCUGAGAGGGUGAUCGGCCACAUUGGGACUGAGACACGGCCCAGACUCCUACGGGAGGCAGCAGUGGGGAAUAUUGCACAAUGGGGGAAACCCUGAUGCAGCCAACGCCGCGUGAGUGAUGACGGCCUUCGGGCUGUAAAGCUCUGUCUUCAGGGACGAUAAUGACGGUACCUGAGGAGGAAGCCACGGCUAACUACGUGCCAGCAGCCGC
rnacentral:rRNA from 1 species